rnacentral:rRNA from 1 species
UACGAGGGGGGCGAGCGUUGUUCGGAAUUAUUGGGCGUAAAGGGUGCGUAGGCGGUUUGGUAAGUCUGAUGUGAAAUCUAUGGGCUCAACUCAUAGUCUGCAUCGGAAACUGCCGGGCUUGAGUAUGGGAGAGGUGAGUGGAAUUCCUGGUGUAGCGGUGAAAUGCGCAGAUAUCAGGAAGAACACCAAUGGCGAAAGCAGCUCUCUGGGACGGUACUGACGCUGAGACGCGAAAGCGUGGGGAGCGAACAGG